AUUGAACGCUGGCGGCAGGCCUAACACAUGCAAGUCGAACGAGUGGCGGACGGGUGAGUAAUGUCUGGGAAAAUGCAUGAUGGAGGGGGAUAACUACUGGAAAAGGUAGCUAAUCACGCAUACCAACGGAUGUGCACAGAUGGGAUUAGCUAGUAGGUGGGGUAAAUGCUCACCUAGGCGACGAUCCCUAGCUGGUCUGAGAUGAUGACCAGCCAAACUGGAACUGAGACACGGUCCAGACUCCUACGGGAGGCAGCAGUGGGGAAUAUUGCACAAUGGGCGCAAGCCUGAUUCAGCCAUGCCGCGUGUAUGAAGAAUGCCUUCGGGUUGUAAAGUACUUUCAGCGGGGAGUCGUUACCCGCAGAAGAAGCACCGGCUAACUCCGUGCCAGCAGCCGCGGUAAUUC
rnacentral:rRNA from 1 species